AGUUUGAUCCUGGCUCAGAACGAACGCUGGCGGCAGGCUUAACACAUGCAAGUCGAACGGGCGUAGCAAUACGUCAGUGGCAGACGGGUGAGUAACACGUGGGAACCUUCCUAGGGGUACGGAACAACUCAGGGAAACUUGAGCUAAUACCGUAUACGUCCGUGAGGAGAAAGAUUUAUCGCCCUUAGACGGGCCCGCGUCGGAUUAGCUAGUUGGUGGGGUAACGGCCUACCAAGGCGACGAUCCGUAGCUGAUCUGAGAGGAUGAUCAGCCACACUGGGACUGAGACACGGCCCAGACUCCUACGGGAGGCAGCAGUGGGGAAUCUUGGACAAUGGGCGCAAGCCUGAUCCAGCCAUGCCGCGUGAGUGAAGAAGGCCUUCGGGUUGUAAAGCUCUUUUGUCAGGGACGAUAAUGACGGUACCUGAAGAAUAAGCCCCGGCAAACUUCGUG
rnacentral:rRNA from 1 species